AUGCCAAUGGUGAUAUUAGAGAUAAUGACGCCAAAAGCUCAUGCAGACACCCAGCUGAAUCUUCCAGCGUUCCAACAGAUGGACUCUAUGCUUAAUUCGGAGGCAUUUGAUUCAAUAGCGAACAAAAGUUUCAGUGAUCAGAGGGUGGAAGCCAGACCGAAGGGAGAGUCUGGAAUGCACAAAUCUAUCCAUGAAAAUGUGUUGCUUGAAUUGCCCGUGGCAGCUGUUAAUAAAGAUGCCCUAUGUCAGAAAUAG